GGACUGAUGUAUCCACAGAUAUACCACAUACUGACCAAGGUAACACAGAGGACUGAUGUAUCCACAGAUAUACCACAUACUGACCAAGGUAACACAGAGGACUGAUGUAUCCACAGAUAUACCACAUACUGACCAAGGUAACACAGAGGACUGAUGUAUCCACAGAUAUACCACAUACUGACCAAGGUAACACAGAGGACUGAUGUAUCCACAGAUAUACCACAUACUGACCAAGGUAACACAGAGGACUGAUGUAUCCACAGAUAUACCACAUACUGACCAAGGUAACACAGAGGACUGAUGUAUCCACAGAUAUACCACAUACUGACCAAGGUAACGCAGAGGACUGAUGUAUCCACAGAUAUACCACAUACUGACCAAGGUAACACAGAGGACUGAUGUAUCCACAGAUAUACCACAUACUGACCAAGGUAACGCAGAGGACUGAUGUAUCCACAGAUAUACCACAUACUGACCAAGGUAACACAGAGGACUGAUGUAUCCACAGAUAUACCACAUACUGACCAAGGUAACACAGAGGACUGUUGUAUCCACAGAUAUACCACAUACUGACCAAGGUAACACAGAGGACUGAUGUAUCCACAGAUAUACCACAUACUGACCAAGGUAACGCAGAGGACUGAUGUAUCCACAGAUAUACCACAUACUGACCAAGGUAACGCAGAGGACUGAUGUAUCCACAGAUAUACCACAUACUGACCAAGGUAACACAGAGGACUGAUGUAUCCACAGAUAUACCACAUAUUGACCAAGGUAACGCAGAGGACUGAUGUAUCCACAGAUAUACCACAUACUGACCAAGGUAACACAGAGGACUGAUGUAUCCACAGAUAUACCACAUACUGACCAAGGUAACACAGAGGACUGAUGUAUCCACAGAUAUACCACAUACUGACCAAGGUAACGCAGAGGACUGAUGUAUCCACAGAUAUACCACAUACUGACCAAGGUAACGCAGAGGACUGAUGUAUCCACAGAUAUACCACAUACUGACCAAGGUAACACAGAGGACUGAUGUAUCCACAGAUAUACCACAUACUGACCAAGGUAACGCAGAGGACUGAUGUAUCCACAGAUAUACCACAUACUGACCAAGGUAACGCAGAGGACUGAUGUAUCCACAGAUAUACCACAUACUGACCAAGGUAACGCAGAGGACUGAUGUAUCCAUAGAUAUACCACAUACUGACCAAGGUAACGCAGAGGACUGAUGUAUCCACAUACUGACCAAGGUAACACAGAGGACUGAUGUAUCCACAGAUAUACCACAUACUGACCAAGGUAACACAGAGGACUGAUGUAUCCACAGAUAUACCACAUACUGACCAAGGUAACGCAGAGGACUGAUGUAUCCACAGAUAUACCACAUACUGACCAAGGUAACACAGAGGACUGUUGUAUCCACAGAUAUACCACAAACUGACCAAGGUAACACAGAGGACUGAUGUAUCCACAGAUAUACCACAUACUGACCAAGGUAACGCAGAGGACUGAUGUAUCCACAGAUAUACCACAUACUGACCAAGGUAACGCAGAGGACUGAUGUAUCCACAGAUAUACCACAUACUGACCAAGGUAACGCAGAGGACUGAUGUAUCCACAGAUAUACCACAUACUGACCAAGGUAACGCAGAGGACUGAUGUAUCCACAGAUAUACCACAUACUGACCAAGGUAACAGACACAGAGGACUGAUGUAUCCACAGAUAUACCACAUACUGACCAAGGUAACAGACACAGAGGACUGAUGUAUCCACAGAUAUACCACAUACUGACCAAGGUAACACAGAGGACUGAUGUAUCCACAGAUAUACCACAUACUGACCAAGGUAACGCAGAGGACUGAUGUAUCCACAGAUAUACCACAUACUGACCAAGGUAACACAGAGGACUGUUGUAUCCACAGAUAUACCACAUACUGACCAAGGUAACACAGAGGACUGAUGUAUCCACAGAUAUACCACAUACUGACCAAGGUAACGCAGAGGACUGAUGUAUCCACAGAUAUACCACAUACUGACCAAGGUAACGCAGAGGACUGAUGUAUCCACAGAUAUACCACAUACUGACCAAGGUAACACAGAGGACUGAUAUAUCCACAGAUAUACCACAUACUGACCAAGGUAACGCAGAGGACUGAUGUAUCCACAGAUAUACCACAUACUGACCAAGGUAACAGACACAGAGGACUGAUGUAUCCACAGAUAUACCACAUACUGACCAAGGUAACAGACACAGAGGACUGAUGUAUCCACAGAUAUACCACAUACUGACCAAGGUAACACAGAGGACUGAUGUAUCCACAGAUAUACCACAUACUGACCAAGGUAACACAGAGGACUGAUGUAUCCACAGAUAUACCACAUACUGACCAAGGUAACGCAGAGGACUGAUGUAUCCACAGAUAUACCACAUACUGACCAAGGUAACGCAGAGGACUGAUGUAUCCACAGAUAUACCACAUACUGACCAAGGUAACGCAGAGGACUGAUGUAUCCACAGAUAUACCACAUACUGACCAAGGUAACACAGAGGACUGAUGUAUCCACAGAUAUACCACAUACUGACCAAGGUAACGCAGAGGACUGAUGUAUCCACAGAUAUACCACAUACUGACCAAGGUAACAGACACAGAGGACUGAUGUAUCCACAGAUAUACCACAUACUGACCAAGGUAACACAGAGGACUGAUGUAUCCACAGAUAUACCACAUACUGACCAAGGUAACACAGAGGACUGAUGUAUCCACAGAUAUACCACAUACUGACCAAGGUAACACAGAGGACUGAUGUAUCCACAGAUAUACCACAUACUGACCAAGGUAACACAGAGGACUGAUGUAUCCACAGAUAUACCACAUACUGACCAAGGUAACGCAGAGGACUGAUGUAUCCACAGAUAUACCACAUACUGACCAAGGUAACGCAGAGGACUGACGUAUCCACAGAUAUACCACAUACUGACCAAGGUAACACAGAGGACUGAUGUAUCCACAGAUAUACCACAUACUGACCAAGGUAACACAGAGGACUGAUGUAUCCACAGAUAUACCACAUACUGACCAAGGUAACACAGAGGACUGAUGUAUCCACAGAUAUACCACAUACUGACCAAGGUAACGCAGAGGACUGACGUAUCCACAGAUAUACCACAUACUGACCAAGGUAACACAGAGGACUGACGUAUCCACAGAUAUACCACAUACUGACCAAGGUAACACAGAGGACUGACGUAUCCACAGAUAUACCACAUACUGACCAAGGUAACACAGAGGACUGACGUAUCCACAGAUAUACCACAUACUGACCAAGGUACUACAGACAGGCUCUUUGUUAUGGUAAUCCAUAAUGAAUCAGUAAGGCCUGAGGAGGUGUUGGAUAUGGCCACACACUGCGGAGUGCUAGGACACAGCCCUUAGCAUUGGUGUAUAACACCAACCCCUGAAGGCCUUAUUGCUAUUAUAAACUGGAUUAUGACGUAGUUAGAGGAAUAAUAAUACGCCCUUUGUCAUACAUGUGGUAUUCCGUGGCUUUCAGCCAAUAAGCAUUUACGUCUCGAACUCCCCAGUUUCUGAUGUCCAAUAAUGACUUCCUCUUCUGCCUCUAUCUGUUAGUGUGUCUGUAGGGCUGCAGAGUAACAGGUGAAUGUGCAUCUCUGGCCUCAAGCCUCCGGUGACACUUAAAAGGGGCAAUCAGCAGUUGUUCUCUCUCAUCCCUCUCCCUCCAUCCCCCUCUCUCUCUCUCUCUCUCUCUCUCUCUCUCUCUCCAUCCCUCCCUCUAUUCCUCUCUCUCUCUCUCUCUCUC